rnacentral:misc_RNA from 1 species
GAUGAAGAACGUAGCGAAAUGCGAUACGUAAUGUGAAUUGCAGAAUUCAGUGAAUCAUCGAAUCUUUGAACGCAUAUUGCGCUCUCUGGUAUUCCGGAGAGCAUGCUUGUUUGAGUAUCAGUAAACACCUCAACUCCCUUUCUUUUUUGAAAUUGGAGCUGGACUUGAGUGAUCCCAACGCUUUCUUCCAAGAAAGUGGCGGGUUGCUUGAAAUGCAGGUGCAGCUGAACUUUUCUCUGAGCUAUAAGCAUAUCUAUUUAGUCUGCCUAAAAAACAGAUUAUUACCUUUGCUGCAGCUAACAUAAAGGAGACUAGUUCUUGUGCUGACUGAUGCAGGAUUCACAGAGACAGCUUCGGCUGACUUUGUAAACUCGAUCUCAAAUCAAGUAAGACUACCCGCUGAACUUAAGCAUAUCAAUAAGCGGAGGA